CCUACGGGGGGCAGCAGUGGGGAAUAUUGGACAAUGGGCGAAAGCCUGAUCCAGCCAUGCCGCGUGUGUGAAGAAGGCCUUCGGGUUGUAAAGCACUUUCAGUGGGGUAGAAAGCCUUGGGGCUAAUACCCUCGAGGAAGGACAUCACCCACAGAAGAAGCACCGGCUAACUCCGUGCCAGCAGCCGCGGUAAUACGGAGGGUGCGAGCGUUAAUCGGAAUUACUGGGCGUAAAGCGCGCGUAGGCGGUCUGAUAAGCCGGUUGUGAAAGCCCCGGGCUCAACCUGGGAACGGCAUCCGGAACUGUCAGGCUAGAGUGCAGGAGAGGAAGGUAGAAUUCCCGGUGUAGCGGUGAAAUGCGUAGAGAUCGGGAGGAAUACCAGUGGCGAAGGCGGCCUUCUGGACUGACACUGACGCUGAGGUGCGAAAGCGUGGGUAGCAAACAGGAUUAGAUACCCGAGUAGUC
rnacentral:rRNA from 1 species